rnacentral:rRNA from 1 species
UACGGGGGGGGCAAGCGUUGUUCGGAAUUACUGGGCGUAAAGGGUGCGUAGGCGGUUAAUUAAGUCAGUGGUGAAAUCCUGGAGCUCAACUUCAGAACUGCCAUUGAUACUGGUUGACUUGAGUACAGACGAGGUUGGCGGAAUUGAUGGUGUAGCGGUGAAAUGCAUAGAUACCAUCAAGAACACCGAUUGCGAAGGCAGCUAACUAGGCUGUAACUGACGCUGAGGCACGAAAGUGUGGGGAUCAAACAGG